rnacentral:lncRNA from 1 species
UUAAAACCUAUAUAAAGAAGCAAGUACUUUGUGCAUAUGUUGGUUGUAACUUGUGCUUUGAGAGUGUUUCAAAAAAAAAAAAAACUUGAUGGUGUACAUCCACAUAUUUGUUACAUACCUUCUCUCCCUUUCAGUCCAAAACCACUGCCACUCAUCUCAUCCGGUUUGAAGAUCAGUACCAACCACCGCCGACGAAGGCAGUCCUAAAACGUUUAAACCCUAAAAUCAAACCUCUCGAAAUACGGUGAGCAAAGAAGUUGUCAAGGUUUAUGUUAAACCUAAGAAAAGGCCAUACCCCUGUUUCUUCGUGUCUUUCUCAGGUAUGUUUUUUUAUCAGAGUUUUUGGUUUUCUGGUGGUUUUGCUUGCUUCAUUUAUGGCAGUGGCUUUUGUUUCGCCGCCGGUUGUGGGUAUUGCUGCCUUGAUUAUGUUGGCUUGAUGAUGGUGGUUGAUCUUUAUGUAAACCUUACCCUUUUUGUAUGAUCUGUGAUGUUGACACUUGAGUUGCGAUUAAGGGAUGUAGGAAGCCGUUGCCGGAGACCUAUGGCGGUUACGACGAACGACGUGAUCAAGCCGUCUCCGGCGUCUGUUCUGUGACGUGCGUCUCCGAUUGUGUCCAAGGCGAUGUUUAAGUAUCUAUUGGUUUUGUUUCAUCUUUAGUUUAUUGCUAUUAAUCUGAAUAUAUACGUGUGAUUGAUGAAUGGAUGCUACUUAAUCGAUUACCUUUUGUAUAGGUAAAUAUGAUGGGCUAUGGUCAACCAGUUUCAUUCAUUGCGCUCUAAUUUGAAAUCAAUGAAACUCCCUGAACCAUAAGAAACCCUUUUGCUUAACUCCUCUAAAUAUGAUAUUGAAUUAUGUUAUUUGAAUAUUACAUUACGUAUGAUGUAAAUACAUAAUGACUUGGCGAAACUUACUUGGGUUGUAAUUCAAUGUAAGCCAGAUGUGUCUUUGCUGAUGAAACUGAUAUUUGCAGUCAGAGGAUGAGGUGUGGACCCGUUGGGGGCUAUGAUCUAUGAUGAAACUGGUGACGCAAAUUAUGACUUGGUUUACUUAUGUUCCGUGCUCUACCUGUGAACAAUGUGGCAAGCAUCAGGUAGUUUUACAUUUAUGGUUGAAUGGAUAAUAGACCGAUAUGAGGCAAACGGGUCAGUCGCGUAACGGGUAAAAAGACAAACUUUUAUACGGGUAUUAGUUGUGCAAAGAGUGAUCAGUUUCAGCCUUCGGGUUUAUAGAGAUUGAGAUGAGAGAAUAUCACAGACUUUGAUUAAUCAGAUAUCACAUGAGAAAGAAAAUGAUACAUAAGUGUUUUUACGCUGAUAAAGAAGGUUGCAGAAAAGGGUAUAGCUUUGUUUUGUACAUCUUGGAUGUAUAGGUUAGGCGAUGUAACUAUGGAACAUUGGUGUAACAAAUGCAUGGGUUUAUUUGGUAUGACACAUAUGAAUAGCUCACCGCCGUAUUGCGGCGGGUAAUAAAUCCUAGUUCUAAUUAACUUAGCAAAUUUACAAAUCAAACAUGAUUGGUAAUAAUUUUUAUUUCAAUUAUACUAUAUUCUAUUUUUUUACAUAUUUCCUUUCUUUAAAUAGAACUUCUAUGAACCAAACGUCAUUGUGUAUUAUAUUUAAUUAUAUG